GACGAACGCUGGCGGCGUGCCUAAUACAUGCAAGUAGAACGCUGAAGAGAGGAGCUUGCUCUUCUUGGAUGAGUUGCGAACGGGUGAGUAACGCGUAGGUAACCUGCCUGGUAGCGGGGGAUAACUAUUGGAAACGAUAGCUAAUACCGCAUAAAAUGGAUUAUCGCAUGAUAAUCCAUUGAAAGGUGCAAAUGCAUCACUACCAGAUGGACCUGCGUUGUAUUAGCUAGUUGGUGAGGUAACGGCUCACCAAGGCGACGAUACAUAGCCGACCUGAGAGGGUGAGCGGCCACACUGGGACUGAGACACGGCCCAGACUCCUACGGGAGGCAGCAGUAGGGAAUCUUCGGCAAUGGACGGAAGUCUGACCGAGCAACGCCGCGUGAGUGAAGAAGGUUUUCGGAUCGUAAAGCUCUGUUGUAAGAGAAGAACGAGUGUGAGAGUGGAAAGUUCACACUGUGACGGUAUCUUACCAGAAAGGGACGGCUAACUACGUG
rnacentral:rRNA from 1 species